CUAGCCCUACGGGAGGCAGCAGUGAGGAAUAUUGGUCAAUGGGCGGGAGCCUGAACCAGCCACGUCGCGUGAGGGAAGACGGUCCUAUGGAUUGUAAACCUCUUUUGUCGGGGAGCAAAGCGCGGUACGAGUGCCGUGAAGGAGAGUACCCGAAGAAAAAGCAUCGGCUAACUCCGUGCCAGCAGCCGCGGUAAUACGGAGGAUCCAAGCGUUAUCCGGAUUUAUUGGGUUUAAAGGGUGCGUAGGCGGAUUGAUAAGUUAGAGGUGAAAUGUCCGAGCUCAACUCGGGAACUGCCUCUAAUACU
rnacentral:rRNA from 1 species